GUGCAUCGAACUGCUGACGCUCCAUCCUUUUCAAUCAUUCCCCAAGUGAACCUUUUACUUGUGGGCGUGUGAGGUAUCCUGUGUUGCUUCCAUUGGAAUGGAAUUCGUUGGCUUUGCUACUUGCAUUUGCCACGUGCCUAUAUGGGUGUGAGGUGGACGUGAGCAAGCUCUGUGUUCCCAGCAUGUCAAGUGCUUUGGCAUUUGGUUGUUGUGGCCCAUGGGGUCUUUGCUUGUUCUUUCGGAUGCGGAAUGUUGUGUGGGUGUGAGGYCUCAACCUCGACUUGUCCAAGCACAAUCUUUUAACUCGAGUGACUGCUGCGCUUGUCCAUGAUCUUCUCGACYGAGGCCYCAUAAUGGGGCUUACCGGACGAUGGUUGAACAUGCGGGCGCCGGCGUCAAAGAGGAUAGC
rnacentral:misc_RNA from 1 species